ACAAACUUGGUCAUUUAGAGGAAGUAAAAGUCGUAACAAGGUCUCCGUAGGUGAACCUGCGGAGGGAUCAUUACAGUGCCACCGGGACGCCGCGCUCCGGCGUUGGGUGUCCCGAAUCUGGCCACACGUGUCUACCUAAUUUUCUGUUGCCUGGGCGGGCCCGCUGGCCGCCGCUGUUAGGCUUUACCUGGCAGCAUGGCGCACCCGGCCGCCGGGGGCUUGCCCCUGGCCCGUGCCCGCUAAAGGACCCUCUGAACGCGUGUGAAUAAUAGUGAUGUCUGAGUGGGUUGAUGAAUCAGUUAAAACUUUCAACAAUGGAUCUCUUGGUUCCGGCAUCGAUGAAGAACGCAGC
rnacentral:misc_RNA from 1 species